UUACUUUGUCAUUUAUGUUUGAAAUAUUACGUUCUAGUUAUUUAUGUUUCAAAUGUUACGUUUUAGUCACAUAUGUUAUCGUGUUGUGACAUUUUGGUCACUGAGUUGUUAAUUGCCGUUAACGGUGUAACGGUUAGCUGACAUGACAUGUUAAAUAAUCAUUUCAAAUAAAAAUUUUAGGUUAAUUUAUACAACCGGUCCCCAUAUUUUUU
rnacentral:lncRNA from 1 species